ACGGUCCUAAGGUAGCGAAAUUCCUUGUCGGGUAAGUUCCGACCUGCACGAAUGGCAUAACGAUGGCCACACUGUCUCCUCCCGAGACUCAGUGAAGUUGAAAUGUUUGUGAUGAUGCAAUCUACCCGCGGCUAGACGGAAAGACCCCAUGAACCUUUACUGCAGCUUUGCAUUGAACUGUGAACCGAUUUGUGUAGGAUAGGUGGGAGGCAGAGAAGAGGCCACGCCAGUGGCCUUGGAGCCGACCUUGAAAUACCACCCUGAUUUGUUUGCGGUUCUAACCACGGACAGUUAUCCUGUCUUGGGACCGUGCAUGGUAGGCAGUUUGACUGGGGCGGUCUCCUCCUAAAGGGUAACGGAGGAGUACGAAGGUACGCUAGGUACGGUCGGAAAUCGUGCUGAUAGUGCAAUGGCAAAAGCGUGCUUGACUGCGAGAGCAACAACUCGAGCAGAUGCGAAAGCAGGUCAUAGUGAUCCGGUGGCUCUGAAUGGAAGGGCCAUCGCUCAACGGAUAAAAGGUACUCUGGGGAUAACAGGCUGAUACCGCCCAAGAGUUCAUAUCGACGGCGGUGUUUGGCACCUCGAUGUCGGCUCAUCUCAUCCUGGGGCUGUAGUCGGUCCCAAGGGUAUGGCUGUUCGCCAUUUAAAGAGGUACGUGAGCUGGGUUUAAAACGUCGUGAGACAGUUUGGUCCCUAUCUGCCGUGGGCGUUGGAAGAUUGACGGGGGCUGCUCCUAGUACGAGAGGACCGGAGUGGACGCACCUCUGGUGUACCGGUUGUCACGCCAGUGGCAUUGCCGGGUAGCUAAGUGCGGAAGAGAUAACCGCUGAAAGCAUCUAAGCGGGAAACUUGCCUGAAGAUGAGUCUUCCCGGAGGUUGAACCUCCCUCAAGAGUCGUCCGAGACCAGGACGUCGAUAGGUCAGGUGUGUAAGCGCUGUGAGGCGUUGAGCUAACUGAUACUAAUUGCUCGUGAGGCUUGAUCCU
rnacentral:rRNA from 1 species